GCCCUUAUAGCUCAGUGGUAGAGCGUUGCACUUGUAUUACAUAAGCAAUUACAUGCAAAGGUCGGUUGUUCAAUCCAGCCUGGGGGCA